GUGAACGCUGGCGGUAGGCCUAACACCUGCAAGUCGAACGGCAGCACAGUAAGCGCUUGCUCUUACGGGUGGCGAGUGGCGGACGGGUGAGGAAUACAUCGGAAUCUACUUUUUCGUGGGGGAUAACGUAGGGAAACUUACGCUAAUACCGCAUACGACCUACGGGUGAAAGCAGGGGAUCUUCGGACCUUGCGCGAUUGAAUGAGCCGAUGUCGGAUUAGCUAGUUGGCGGGGUAAAGGCCCACCAAGGCGACGAUCCGUAGCUGGUCUGAGAGGAUGAUCAGCCACACUGGAGCGGAGACACGGUCCAGACUCCUACGGGAGGCAGCAGUGAGGAAGAUUGGGCAAGGGGCGGAAGCCUGAUCCAGCCAUACCGCGUGGGUGGAGAAGGCCAUCGGGUUGUAAAGCCCUUUUGUUGGGAAAGAAAAGCAGCAGGUUAAUACCCCGCUGUUAUGACGGUACCCAAAGAAUAAGCACCGGCUAACUACGUG
rnacentral:rRNA from 1 species